rnacentral:rRNA from 1 species
CCUACGGGAGGCAGCAGUGGGGAAUAUUGGGCAAUGGACGCAAGUCUGACCCAGCAACGCCGCGUGAAGGAAGAAGGCUUUCGGGUUGUAAACCUCUGUCAGCAGGGAAGAACGGUCACUGUGCUAAUCAGCAGUGAAUUGACGGUACCUGCAACGGAAGCACCGGCUAACGCCGUGCCAGCAGCCGCGGUAAUACGGAGGGUGCGAGCGUUAAUCGGAAUUACGGGGCGUAAAGGGCUCGUAGGCGGUAUGUCAAGUCAAGGGUGAAAGCCCCGCGCUCAACGUGGGAACUGCCUUUGAAACUGGCGAACUGGAGUGUUGGAGAGGAUAGUGGAAUUCCAGGUGUAGGAGUGAAAUCCGUAGAUAUCUGGAGGAACAUCAGUGGCGAAGGCGACUAUCUGGCACAUAACUGACGCUGAGGAGCGAAAGCGUGGGUAGCAAACAGGAUUAGAUACCCCAGUAGUC